GAGUUUGAUCGUGGCUCAGGAUGAACGCUAGCGACAGGCUUAACACAUGCAAGUCGAGGGGCAGCGGGGUAGCAAUACCGCCGGCGACCGGCGCACGGUGAGUAACGCGUAUGCAACUUACCUAUCAGAGGGGGAUAGCCCGGCGAAAGUCGGAUUAAUACCCCAUAAACAGGGGUCCCGCAUGGGAAUAUUUGUUAAAGAUUCAUCGCUGAUAGAUAGGCAUGCGUUCCAUUAGGCAGUUGGCGGGUAACGCCCACCAACCGACGAUGGAUAGGGUUCUGAGAGGAAGGUCCCCCACCAUUGGUACUGAGACACGGACC
rnacentral:rRNA from 1 species